rnacentral:tRNA from 1 species
GGCGGGAUGGCAGAGUGGUUAUGCAGCGGCCUGCAAAGCCGUGUACCCCAGUUCGAUUCUGGGUUCCGCCU